rnacentral:rRNA from 1 species
AGAGUUUGAUCAUGGCUCAGAUUGAACGCUGGCGGCACGCCUUACACAUGCAAGUCGAACGGCAGCACGAGAGCUUGCUCUUGGUGGCGAGUGGCGAACGGGUGAGUAAUAUAUCGGAACGUACCCUAGAGUGGGGGAUAACGUAGCGAAAGUUACGCUAAUACCGCAUACGAUCUACGGAUGAAAGUGGGGGAUCGCAAGACCUCAUGCUCAUGGAGCGGCCGAUAUCUGAUUAGCUAGUUGGUGGGGUAAAAGCUCACCAAGGCGACGAUCAGUAGCUGGUCUGAGAGGACGACCAGCCACACUGGAACUGAGACACGGUCCAGACUCCUACGGGAGGCAGCAGUGGGGAAUUUUGGACAAUGGGCGCAAGCCUGAUCCAGCAAUGCCGCGUGAGUGAAGAAGGCCUUCGGGUUGUAAAGCUCUUUUGUCAGGGAAGAAACGGUGGACUCUAAUACAGAUCACUAAUGACGGUACCUGAAGAAUAAGCACCGGCUAACUACGUGCCAGCAGCCGCGGUAAUACGUAGGGUGCAAGCGUUAAUCGGAAUUACUGGACGUAAAGCGUGCGCAGGCGGUUGUGCAAGACAGAUGUGAAAUCCCCGGGCUCAACCUGGGAAUUGCAUUUGUGACUGCACGGCUAGAGUGUGUCAGAGGGGGGUAGAAUUCCACGUGUAGCAGUGAAAUGCGUAGAGAUGUGGAGGAAUACCGAUGGCGAAGGCAGCCCCCUGGGAUAACACUGACGCUCAUGCACGAAAGCGUGGGGAGCAAACAGGAUUAGAUACCCUGGUAGUCCACGCCCUAAACGAUGUCUACUAGUUGUCGGGUCUUAAUUGACUUGGUAACGCAGCUAACGCGUGAAGUAGACCGCCUGGGGAGUACGGUCGCAAGAUUAAAACUCAAAGGAAUUGACGGGGACCCGCACAAGCGGUGGAUGAUGUGGAUUAAUUCGAUGCAACGCGAAAAACCUUACCUACCCUUGACAUGUCUGGAAUCCUUGAGAGAUCAGGGAGUGCUCGAAAGAGAAUCAGAACACAGGUGCUGCAUGGCUGUCGUCAGCUCGUGUCGUGAGAUGUUGGGUUAAGUCCCGCAACGAGCGCAACCCUUGUCAUUAGUUGCUACGAAAGGGCACUCUAAUGAGACUGCCGGUGACAAACCGGAGGAAGGUGGGGAUGACGUCAAGUCCUCAUGGCCCUUAUGGGUAGGGCUUCACACGUCAUACAAUGGUACAUACAGAGGGCCGCCAACCCGCGAGGGGGAGCUAAUCCCAGAAAGUGUAUCGUAGUCCGGAUUGUAGUCUGCAACUCGACUACAUGAAGUUGGAAUCGCUAGUAAUCGCGGAUCAGCAUGUCGCGGUGAAUACGUUCCCGGGUCUUGUACACACCGCCCGUCACGCCAUGGGAGCGGGUUUCACCAGAAGUGGGUAGCCUAACCGCAAGGAGGGCGCUCACCACGGUGGGAUUCGUGACUGGGGUGAAGUCGUAACAAGGUA